UACGUAGGAUGCAAGCGUUGUCCGGAAUUAUUGGGCGUAAAGAGCGCGCAGGCGGUUUAACAAGUCAGAUGUGAAAUAUCCGGGCUUAACCCGGAGGGGUCAUUUGAAACUGUUAGACUAGAGUACAGCAGAGGAUAGCGGAAUUCCCGGUGUAGUGGUGAAAUGCGUAGAUAUCGGGAGGAACACCAGUGGCGAAGGCGGCUAUCUGGGCUGAAACUGACGCUGAGGCGCGAAGGCUAGGGGAGCAAACAGG
rnacentral:rRNA from 1 species